rnacentral:rRNA from 1 species
GGAGUUAGCCGGUGCUUCUUCUGUGAGUGAUGUCCUUCCUGCCGGUUAUUGACCCGCAGGCCUUCUUCCUCACUGAAAGUGCUUUACAACCCGAAGGCCUUCUUCACACACGCGGCAUGGCUGGAUCAGGGUUGCCCCCAUUGUCCAAUAUUCCCCACUGCUGCCUCCCGUAGGAGUCUGGGCCGUGUCUCAGUCCCAGUGUGGCUGAUCAUCCUCUCAGACCAGCUACGGAUCGUCGCCUUGGUGAGCCGUUACCUCACCAACCAGCUAAUCCGACAUAGGCUCAUCCGAUAGCGCGAGGCCCGAAGGUCCCCCGCUUUCCCCCGUAGGGCGUAUGCGGUAUUAGCCUGGGUUUCCCCAGGUUAUCCCCCACUACCGGGCAGAUUCCUAUGCAUUACUCACCCGUCCGCCGCUCGCCACCAGGGAGCAAGCUCCCCGUGCUGCCGCUCGACUUGCAUGUGUUAGGCCUGCCGCCAGCGUUCAAUCUGAGCCUAAUCAAACUCUGA